rnacentral:lncRNA from 1 species
AAUGCCCAGGGAGGUGUCGCCCUUCGCAGGACAGUUUGGAAGAUCGUAGUUUUUUUCUUGGGUUUGGGGAUUUUUUUUUUUACUUUCUUUUUCCUUUUUUUUUUUUUUUUUUUUUUUUUUUUUUUUUUUUUUUUUUUUUNNNNNNNNNNNNNNNNNNNNGUUGUUUGUUUGUUUGUUUGUUUGUUUUNUUUUNUUUUNUUUUNUUUUUNUUUUUUNUUUUUUNUUUUUUUUUCUUUUUGAUCUACUACGGUUGGGACCAGCUGAGUUUGACGUUGGUGAAUGUCUUUCUGCAGAAGGCAUCUCACGGCAGCAGGAUGAGGUGGUGCCAGGAGCCACAAGAAAGCACUACAGAAGCACAGAGACAUCUCUGCACUGGGGAGCAAACCAAAGGAAAAAACAACCCUGUCUCAGAAAGUGCUGAGAAAUACAUGACGAGUCCUGCACCUCUGUCCACAACCACUGCAUGAGAAGCUGCAAUUACCUAUCCUGGCUUGGACCAGAGGCUCAUACACUGCCCUGCACACCUCUGAGAGCCCCUGCCCUUUGGGAAGAAAUGAGCAGCAUUCUUCCCCUUCCAAGCACCCUUCAUUUGAGCCUCAGACUUCCUCAGCUGGAGCUUGGAUCUGCAUCUCUGCAUUCCACAUCUCUUAAGUAAACACUUUGUUUCAUGGAUUGGUCUGACUGCCAUUGGAACCCCUGCGCAGUUUUUACCUCCAUAAUGUUAUGGAGCCAUGAGCCCCACAAGCUGUGAGAUACUUCAAAUAAUAAUUUUGUCUAUUAUAGGCCACAUUUUUGACUGCAGCAUUUGGCAUCCACAGUACUGUGUGAAACAGCAGGCAAAAUAAUCUUUUGGUCUCCCAUUUAUUGCUGGCUUAUCCAGCCUGCAGAGUCUUGCAUAUUUUGGUGUGUCUUCCAAGUGUGGUCAUUUUGACCUUGUAACAUUUCCAAUCACCUGUCCUUUGGAAGGGGGCUGCAUGCAGUGUUCCAGACCUGGGAUGCUCUACAUUUCCUGGUGAUGUAACAGUGAUUUCUUUCUUACAUUCCUGAUGUUGCUUCAGCCCUCUUGAGCAUGGGAGCAACCAGAGCAUGCCAAGCAAUGCUUCCACCAGACUUCAUGGUCAUGAUUUUGCUGCACAGUUGUGCUGCAUAAACACAAAUGCCUUUUGAGUUAAGCAAAGAACUCUCCUCCCACCUGCAACUUUCUGCCCACCCCUAGGUUUUGUGUCCCUGUGUGUUCUUGAUCACCCCACCACUGGAAGUCAGUAGAAGAAGUUUCAGCAAUAUUGGGAGUCCUGGUAUCAUCCCUUGUUAAGGACAAGAGGAGCUGCACAGAGAACCUGAGCCAUGAUUAGUGCUGAGUGACAUGUUCCUCUGGUCCUUAGGAAUGGGAAAUUUCAUGCUUACAGAUUUGUUAACAUAGAAAAGAAAUAAGGUGGUAGCCAGUGACAGCCUGGUGGUUUCACUGGUUUCACCACUGGCAGCCUGGUGAAAAUGUUUUUGCCUCACCUUUCACUGUGAUAAAUUCUUUCUAUGAAAACAAGUAAUUCAGCCUUUCAGUUUGGUGCUGCUUUUUGCUGUAUCAGCAGUUUAGCCAGAACAGUUGGAAGCAUUUAAAGAGUGGCAUUAAUUAAAGUGACUCAGAAGCAAAUAGGCUAUGAAGAGCUUGGAAAAGAAUGGAGGAGUAGCUAUUGUACAAAAUGCUUUUCUAAAUGAACACCUGGAGGGAUGAAGCUAUGGAGAGCGUGGUUUGGGAAGCAGCCUUCCCACUGCAGCAGUGCAGUCAUGGUGAUUAAACACACCUUUUGGAAGCACACACUGUUUGGAUGGAGCUUUCAACCAUCACCAGGUAAAGCUUACAAUGAGUGACUCGUGGCAUGUUAAGAGGCAGGAUGACUCCACUUGCUGUUUGUGUUCUGUGGAAAAGGUUGGCAGUACUUCAGGCUGAACAAGGGGACUCUGAAGAGUAUAGCAAGGGCUAUGUGGUUCACUGGUAACUACCAAUAAAGAGUCCACUUAGAUAAAGUGGGUCA